rnacentral:rRNA from 1 species
UACCAGCACCCCGAGUGGUCGGGACGUUUUAUUGGGCCUAAAGCAUCCGUAGCCGGUUCUACGAGUCUUCCGUUAAAUCCAACUGCUUAACAGGUGGGCUGCGGAAGAUACUAUAGAGCUAGGAGGCGGGAGAGGCAAGCGGUACUCGAUGGGUAGGGGUAAAAUCCGUUGAUCCAUUGAAGACCACCAGUGGCGAAGGCGGCUUGCCAGAACGCGCUCGACGGUGAGGGAUGAAAGCUGGGGGGAGCAA